CAAGCCCUCUUAUUUCUA
rnacentral:tRNA from 1 species